AAACUUUCAGUUCAAGGGCAUUGUGGGAAGUAGCCAUGGUCUGAGGCUGGUGCCUCACCUGUCAGCCGGCCCGGCUGCUGCUACGCUCUCCUCUGGCUGCCGCAUCCCUGGCGAUCGCCGCUGUCGCGACCCUGGGCGGCUGCGGCCACCAUGAUACAUUUCAUCUUGCUCUUCAGUCGACAAGGAAAAUUGCGGCUGCAGAAAUGGUACAACACACUCCCUGACAAGGAGCGGAAGAAGAUCACCCGGGAGAUCAUCCAGACCGUCCUCUCUCGUGGGCACAGGACAAGCAGCUUCAUCGACUGGAAGGAGCUGAAACUCGUUUAUAAAAGGUACGCUAGUUUAUAUUUUUGCUGUGCAAUAGAAAACCAAGACAAUGAGCUCUUGACACUAGAGAUCGUACAUCGGUAUGUGGAGUUGCUGGACAAAUACUUUGGAAAUGUCUGUGAGCUGGACAUUAUCUUUAAUUUUGAAAAGGCGUAUUUUAUCCUUGAUGAAUUUAUAAUAGGUGGAGAAAUUCAGGAAACGUCCAAGAAAACAGCAGUCAAGGCCAUUGAAGACUCUGAUAUGUUGCAGGAGCAGGUCAAGAGUCAAGAGGAUUUCAAGAAUUAUAAAGUACCUUUUUAAAAUUGGUACUAAAGCCAUUCUUCCUGCUAUUUGGAAAUAAGAGACUGAUUAAGUUAAUAAGACAUUAGGCAUGAUUUCCCAGCAACUGUCUUGGCAGUACUUUGAGCUGAUUACUUACUCCUGCCCAUGGAGGGACUCCAUCCUCAGACAAUGGAAGAAUACAUGAACAAGCCUACAUUUUAAGUGGACAGUCUACUUGAAGAUUCUGAGUGCUUCAUGUUGCGCAUCUACAAAUAAGCAACUCUUUGCAUCCAGUCUCCACACAGCUCUGGCACCAUGCCAAAAAUAACUUAAAGGGAUUCUGUGUUAGCUAGCCAAACUUAAAAGUUGUUAGCAUAAUGUAUUUAUGGUCGCUGCAUGUCUGUGUUACACUGUCUGUGAGUACUCAGACAGUGGCUGUUGUUGUUUCAAGUAAUUGCUGCAGACUGAAUAGCUGGCUUGCAGUGUUGUAAGUCCUUGUGGUAUUUUUAAGGUAAUUUCAAAUAUUAGUUGCAAUAUAAUAAUUUUUGUUGCCAUUUGAUCUCCUACCUGUAGACUGAAAACUGCUUUGUGAUAACAUACAAUUUUGAAUGUAAAGUAUAUUUUAUAUAACAAAUGCCUUUCCUAAAUGUUUUUAAAAGGUACAUGAAUUCAAAUUUAUGUUAAUAGUUCAGUUUUCAUAUAUGAUGCAGACAUUUUUUAAAUAUGUUCAAUGCUACUGUAGUUUCAGGUCAGGUACAAUGUAUCUGAUUUUAAUGUCUUGAAUUCAACUUAUUUUCUUCAGAAUCGGGAUAAAACUUCAUAAGUGAUUUUGAUGUCUUAGAAGGUGCUAGAUGGAGGUUUUUAACUUUACUUUCAAUUGAAUAUAAGAGACAUUUCAAUAAGGUUAUAUUUUCUAUAAACUAUAUAUUUAUUAAAGUGUCAGGAGAUCUGGAGAUAAAAUGUCACAGCAUCUCCUAUUAUUACCAAAGUACUAAGAAAGGAAUAGCUAGAGCAAUAAUUGUGAUGUCUACUACUAUUUUACAUCUCAUGUUCUAAUUAAUACUUGUGAUUGAGAGACUUCUUCAGAUAUUUUUAAUGUAAGCUGGAUGUAUUAGGCUUCCUUAGGGCAUGCAUUUUCAUUGUACCCUUUACGGGAGGUGAGUCCAUUCUUUUUCCUCCCUGCUUCCCAGGAAAAUCUUUUCUGCUGACCAUGAUUCUUGUGACCAUGUCACCUUCAUGCUCCCAAAAAGCAGAAGUUCUGCGUAGUCGGGUCCUGAGCGCACUCAGAUAUGAAAUAGGAAGUCGCUUGUAGCAUUUGUUCUUGGUGCCUGUGUCUGGAGUCCCGUGUGUGCGUUUUCGGAGUUAGUGUCAAGGUCUGAUGUCACUCAUAUCAGAUUGCUUAGGACUCUUACGUUUUUCCUGAGACAAUCAUGCACUUGAUAUUCUGUUCUGUGGGAGAUCUCAGAAGGUGGACCCUUCGAGAAUGUGAUGGUUUGUCAUCUUGGGUUCAUCUCAUCAGGCGUAGUUAAGGGAUGAGGGCAAGACCAGAGCAGAAACAAGUCAGACAAACGAACCCACUCCUCAAUAUAACCAUUUAUCUAAAGGCAAUCAUUCAGUUUGCGUAUGAGGUAAUAACUGGGCUUUUAAUAGCUGAUAUUAUCUUCAAAUUAAGAGUAUGAUUAUGGUGGCUGGUUGAUGUUUGUUUAUUUUUUUUAACAGCUGUGUUUAGGCAAUCUUCAGUUUUGUGCACUAAGUUAAAAAAUAGGAUAAGAAUCUUUGUUUUUCAAACAUUUUGUAAAACUGAACUUUUUGUAAUUUCAAAGGUUUUCUGGUUCUUUCUCAUUGUUUUUGGAUGAAGGUAUCUUUUGAGCCUCACUAAAUGUACUGCUUAUAUUCUGGAUAAUAACAUAUUUGAUACUGUCCAGCUUGUACAAGGAUUCUUCCUGUCAAUGUACACAUAGAAAGUGAUUAUAUUUAUCUGCCAUACGGGGGUAAAUUCAAAGGAUUUGAGGAACAGCUUACAUGAGCUUUAGUGAAAAAUCACUACAUAUAUUUUCUUUAUUAUUAUAAAAUUCUAAGAGAAGUGUCAAGUAAAAGGAAAAAUAAUACUGAAUUUGUAUAAAACUUCCAAAUAAAAUGUUUAAAAAUGUUAA